rnacentral:ncRNA from 1 species
AUCAGACUGCCGCCGGGCAGUAGUGUUGAGCACGGUCCACCGCAUCGUUAGGCCUUAGAAGAUGCGGCGCAGCCGGGCUUGUUUUUU